GACGAACCGAGCGAACGUUGUUCGGAAUUACUGGGCGUAAAGCGUGCGCAGGCGGCUUCUCAAGUCAGGGGUGAAAGCCCAGAGCUCAACUCUGGAAUUGCCUUUGAGACUGAGUGGCUUGAGUACGAGAGAGGUGAGUGGAAUUCCCAGUGUAGAGGUGAAAUUCGUAGAUAUUGGGAAGAACACCGGUGGCGAAGGCGGCUCACUGGCUCGUAACUGACGCUCAUGCACGACAGCGUGGGGAUCAAACAGG
rnacentral:rRNA from 1 species